UACGUAGGGGGCAAGCGUUGUUCGGAAUUACUGGGCGUAAAGCGCGCGUAGGUGGUUUGUUAAGUUGGAUGUGAAAGCCCCGGGCUCAACCUGGGAACUGCAUUCAAAACUGACAAGCUAGAGUAUGGUAGAGGGUGGUGGAAUUUCCUGUGUAGCGGUGAAAUGCGUAGAUAUAGGAAGGAACACCAGUGGCGAAGGCGACCACCUGGCCUGUUUCUUGACGCUGAGGCGCGAAAGCUAGGGGAGCAAACGGG
rnacentral:rRNA from 1 species